GGUUGAUCUAAGCCAACCUGGACCCAGCACUGGGAAGCAGAGUAUCUCCUGGCAACCAGAUACCAAAGACGAUGCUAGCCAACCAGGAACCAGCUCUGAGAAGCAGAACGGCGUCACCAAGAAGCCAGAUCCCAGAAACGUUGCUAUCAAGCCAGGACCCAGCCAUCGGCGGCAGAGCAGCAUCAACCCCUGGCAACCAGGU